AUAUAAUUUUCCAAAAUUUUUUAUUUAAAGAUAUUCUAUAUUUAUAAUUUUAAUAAUAGAAAUCAUCAUUUUCAAAAAAAUAGUAUGUGAAAAAAUGAACACUAGAGCAAAAAAGAAAAGUGCACGAAAAGUAAUAGUUUCGUUUUGUAUGAGCAUGAUAAAAGCUUACUAGUAUUAUGAAACAUAGGAGCGUAUCAUCGCUUAGAAAAAAGAAUAGUACAAUCGUCCUAGUAUGUUACUUCUACCUCACCAAGAGACUAUGUAUAUUACAGACCACAGUCUGUAUGCAUGUAGGAUGACCUAUUUUAGUCUUUAAUGAACCUUUCUCUACAAGUGUAUCGAACGAAAAAAAGAGAAUUUCAAAGAGAACUUCACAUAAAAAGCUUUAAAGAUGAAUAUAUGAAUUAAAUAUUCCUAUACUUAAAUACUUCUAUAAUUAUUGUAUUUUUUUUUCUUCAAUUUUUUUAUCAUUUUAUAUUAUAUAUUAACCGUAUAAUUAACAAGUGAUAAACUUUUUAUCGUAAAAAAAUAUUAAUCUGAUAGGUAAUUAGGGAAAAAAAUUUUUACACCAGAAAAAUAAUACUGAAAAUAAAAUUCCUAUGAUCUAGUAAAAUCCCUAGAGUAACACAAUUCCCUACUCUUUCGUUAAAACUGUGUCACGUGGUAUCCAUUAGUUCCGAUCGCGACGCGUCGAUUACUUGGCGUCUUGUGUUCAUGGCGAAGCCUGAAAGAAGUCUUGGGAGGAAGCCGUUGCAAGCCACCCUAAAGAAGAAGUAUAACUUCCACGAACAAUAGCCGGUCGUUAUCUUGACCGGCGCUUCGCCGUAAUUUCUACGAAAGCCUUGCCAGUCUCCUCUUUUUUUCCGCCAUUCCUUUUUCACGUUUUGUUUUCUCGCCGUAGGCAUGCAUUGUACUUGUGCUGUAUCCUUUCCGUGAACACGAUCGCCUCAACAAUGCACUGCCAUUGACUCUCACUGGAUCGUUGGAUCAGAAUGUGCAAGAAAAAAGAAGCAGAUAGAAAGUUUCUGAGUUAAAUAAUUAUUAUUACAUUUGAAAAUUUAAUAAUCACAUUCCAAAACAAAAAUAACAAUAAAAAUAUUAAUAAUCUCCACUUACCAUCCAUCACGUGUCGAAGUACUUAGAUGUUAAUCUUUUGGAAAAAUAUUUGCCCAAGAAGAGGAGUGUGGCCAUAAUAAAAAGCGGCGCAUAGAUGCAUCCCUGCACGGCAGUAAAGACUCCAGGCGAGACAUCCAACGAGGGAGCAGCAAACCGUUCGGAAUAUUUCGUUUCUGGCGGAAGCGUGUCGGUGUUAUCUCCGCCUCUGGCGUCAGUCGGAGCCCAGCCACGUUCGACUCGUGGCGACUUUCGUCUGAAUAAUUUCUGGUAUCUCAUUGACCCAUCUUGAGAACGCACGUAGAAGAGACGGGUUUCGAACGACAGCUUUGUGGCGCCUUAGCGAUUAGAAAAAUUAAGAAACCAAGGAAGGUUUAAGGAUUAAGGAUCGCGCAUAUAUUCGAGAUAAUUUUGCAUGCCGAGAAAUAUUUAAAAAUGGCUAUAAAAGUUGAUGGUUGUAUAAUCAUAGUUAAAUCUAAGAUUAUUUGAAAGUUGAUAUUGUGUUAGGUCAUUGAAUUUAUCUUUCUGAUGUUAAUUGUUGGUAAUAUUAUCGAAAUUAAUUGUUGAUAUUAAUUUUUUAUUGAAAAAAGAAAAAUUCUUCAGAAAUUUUAUUUAAAUAUUUAAAUAUAUAGUUAAUUGAAAAAUGAUUAAUAUUCGUUGCAUUUUUUUUUCAGAUUAUAAGAAAGUAGAGAAUAUUCUUGAAUUGUAUAUUUAGUUAUUGUAUAUUGUGAAAUUCUUAAUCCCAAUAUAAUAUUUUCGGUAUUUUAAUAAUGAUAAAGCAUAGAAUUUCAUUUCAAAUAUAAUGUCAUUCGUAAUUCCAAAAAUAUAUUUGAAAUAAUUAAAUAAUAUAAAUAAUCCAAGAUACUGAAUGUACAUGUCUAAAAAUGAUAUUUUAUUUAUUUUUAUUUAUUACGUGUAGAGAAAAAUGCACUAUGCAUUUUAUAACUGCAUAUAAAUUCUGAAAUAUAUGUUGCAACACGUGAUUAAUCAGAAUUAUGAACGAUAUAUCUAGUUAGCGUAUUCUACUUUCGAAAAAGAUUACUAAAAUACAAAAAUGAAUACUUGAAAAUAAGGUCAAGCAGUAUAUAUAUAUUCAUAUGAACUUUUAUUUUAUUGUUCCUGCAUUUAGAAUGCACUUAUUAUCUAGCUCAUGUAUUAUAAUAAAGCUA